AUGGCCGCGAACCAGACACCCAGAGCUCCCACCCACGCUGAUCCACUGCAGGCGCCAUCCACAGGCUCGGAAUCAAUCCACAACGAGAGCAGUGAGGCGCGCCUCCGCCGGAUCCACGCCAACCUACGCCUGCUUGACCCGCCCGUGGCCCCGUCCGCCCGCGCCCUCGGCCUCCUCGACUUCGUCCGCCUCGACCUGUCCUCCUCCGGCGCCCCGCGCCCUGACCUAGUCGCCGAGCUCAUCGCCAACUACGAGCCAGAGUACUCGAAGCCCGGAUGGAGCUCCGUCCGUGGCCAAAAAAUCGAGGACUCCCUUGAUUCAUUCGCCCAGGCGCUCUGCCUCCCAGGAAGACCUAGACGGUCUGGUCCUGCUAGCACCGUCGUGGCCUCCGCUGCCAAAGAGUUCAUGAAUAUUUACAUUCUGGCGCCAAUAAAGGCUUCCACUGACAGGAAGCGCAGGCUGCCUAUUGUGUUAGAUUGCAACUCGAGCUGUGUGCAGUAUCGUCGGGCGCAUCGUGUUUACUGGACGGGGCUACUCUGGGACCGAGUGGACGAUGAAAUGGAACACCUGAUUAAGAAGAGCACCAACAGGGCAUGCUACUACGGUGCAUACCUGCAGAGGCUAAUCUGGGCGCAGAGGCCAGAUCUCUUCCAGCUGCCACCGCAACCAUUCGUGGCAGAUGCGCCAUCUGAGCCAGUGCCAUUGGAGUCCCAUAAGGAACGAGGAAUCAAUCGAUCAACAAUCAAUGACAAUCAGAAUCGUGGCUCUGAAGCGAUGUCUGAGAAUAUUGAAGCAAGGUCUGAGAAGGUGAAGGUUGAUGCGGCUUUAGAGAAGAUCAAUGCGGCAUCCAAGGUGAUGAUAGAUACGGCGUUAGAGAAGAUCGAUGCAGCAUCCAAGGUGAUGAUAGAUGCGGCGUUGGAGAAGAUAGAUGCAGCAUCCAAGGUGGUGAUAGAUGCGGCGUUGGAGAAGAUAGAUGCAGCAUCCAAGGUGGUGAUAGAUGCGGCGUUGGAGAAGAUCGAUGCGGCGUCCAAGAUGAUUGAAGCCACAUCCAAGCAGCAUGACGCUAGAGCUGGCGAGCAAGAUGCUAACAUGCAGGAGAUGCAGUCACUCGUCCAGAUGCUGGUUACCAAGGAACGACAAAGCAAUGUCGAGUUGCAACGUGCUCGGAAAAUUCUCAUAGAUGAACUGCAGAAGUUUACAAAUGUGCAGGCACAUAUAGGGAUCAAAAGGAUGGGUGAGCUGGAUCUGAAAGUAUUUGCCAAUGCUUGCAGCAAAAAUGCAACACAAGAAGAUGCACAAAUUAACUCUGCUAUUCUUUGUUCAAAAUGGGAAGCUGAAAUCGCAAACCCAGGCUGGCAUCCUUUUAGGAUAGUUAUGGUUGAUGGUAAAGAGACGGAAAUUCUUUGGGAGGAGGAUGACAAUCUUCGCCGCUUAAAAGAGGAGCAUGGUGAGGAAAUCUACAGCUUAGUGACCAAGGCGCUGCUUGAGAUGAACGAGUACAACCCCAGCGGACGCUAUGCCGCACCGGAGCUGUGGAACUGUAAGGAUGACAGGAAAGCAACGCUGGAGGAAGCCAUCCAGUUCCUCCUGAGACAGCUGCAGUCACAUAAGAGGAAGCGCCGGUGA
rnacentral:rRNA from 1 species